ACGACGGGUAGCUGGUCUGAGAGGAUGGCCAGCCACAGUGGGACUGAGACACGGCCCGCACCCCUACGGGGGGCAGCAGUGGGGAAUCUUGGGCAAUGGCCGAAAGGCUGACCCAGCGACGCCGCGUGGUGGAAGAAGCCCUUCGGGGUGUAAACACCUGUCAGUGGGGAAGAUAAUGACGGUACCCACAGAGGAAGGGACGGCUAACUACGUGCCAGCAGCCGCGGUAAUACGUAGGUCCCGAACGUUGCGCGAAUUUACUGGGCGUAAAGGGUCCGUAGGCGGUCUGGUAAGUGGAAGGUGAAAUCCUGGGGCUCAACUCCAGAAUUGCCUUCCAAACUGCCGGACUUGAGGCAGGGAGAGGUCGGCGGAAUUCCCGGUGUAGCGGUGAAAUGCGUAGAUAUCGGGAGGAACACCAGUGGCGAAGGCGGCCGACUGGAACUGACCUGACGCUGAGGGACGAAAGCCAGGGGAGCGAACCGGAUUAGAUACCCGGGUAGUCCUGGCCGUAAACGAUGGAUGUCUAGAUGUGGGCGGGGAGACCCGUCCGUGUCGUCAAGCUAACGCGUUAAGCAUCCCGCCUGGGGAGUAAUUGGCCCGGCAGGGUGGAAACUCAAAGGGAUUGAAGGGGACCCGCACAACCGGUGGAGCGUCUGGUUUAAUUUCGAUGCCUAACCGAAAACCUCACCAGGGCUUGACAUGCGGUGUGUCGUGGCCGAAAGGUCAUAGGUCACCCUUCGGGGUGACCGCGCCGCACAGGUGGUGCAUGGUCGUCGUCAGCUCGUGUCGUGAGAUGUUGGGUUAAGUCCCGCAACGAGCGCAACCCUUGCCCUGUGUUACCAGCGGGUAAAGCCGGGUACUCACAGGGGACUGCCGGCGAUAAGCCGGAGGAAGGAGGGGAUGACGUCAGAUCAGUAUGCCCUUUAUGCCCUGGGCUACACAGGCGCUACAAUGGCAGGGACAAAGGGAAGCGAAGCCGCAAGGUGGAGCAAACCCCAAAAACCCUGUCGUAGUGCGGAUUGGGGGUUGCAACUCACCCCCAUGAAGGCGGAAUCGGUAGUAAUGGCGGAUCAGCAAUGCCGCCGUGAAUACGUUCCCGGGUCUUGUACUACACCGCCCGUCACGCCACGGGAGUUGGGUUCAUCGGAAGUCCCCGGGCCAACCCGUCAAGGGAGGCAGGGGCCGAGAGGGCC
rnacentral:rRNA from 1 species